rnacentral:rRNA from 1 species
CCUACGGGUGGCAGCAGUGAGGAAUAUUGGUCAAUGGACGAGAGUCUGAACCAGCCAAGUAGCGUGAAGGAUGACUGCCCUAUGGGUUGUAAACUUCUUUUAUAUGGGAAUAAAAUGUUUCACGUGUGGGAUUUUGUAUGUACCAUAUGAAUAAGGAUCGGCUAACUCCGUGCCAGCAGCCGCGGUAAUACGGAGGAUCCGAGCGUUAUCCGGAUUUAUUGGGUUUAAAGGGAGCGUAGGUGGAUUGUUAAGUCAGUUGUGAAAGUUUGCGGCUCAACCGUAAAAUUGCAGUUGAAACUGGCAGUCUUGAGUACAGUAGAGGUGGGCGGAAUUCGUGGUGUAGCGGUGAAAUGCUUAGAUAUCACGAAGAACUCCGAUUGCGAAGGCAGUUCACUGGACUGCAACUGACACUGAGGCUCGAAAGUGUGGGUAUCAAACAGGAUUAGAUACCCGAGUAGUC